rnacentral:rRNA from 1 species
UACGGGGGGAGCAAGCGUUGUUCGGAUUUACUGGGCGUAAAGGGCGGGUAGGCGGCCACCGCAAGUCAGUUGUGAAAUCUCCGGGCUUAACCCGGAAAGGUCAACUGAUACUGCGGGGCUAGAGUGCAGAAGGGCAACUGGAAUUCUCGGUGUAGCGGUGAAAUGCGUAGAUAUCGAGAGGAACACCUGCGGCGAAGGCGGGUUGCUGGGCUGACACUGACGCUGAACUGCGAAAGCCUAGGGGAGCGAACGGG